rnacentral:rRNA from 1 species
GAAGGCCUUAUGGUUGUAAAGCACUUUAAGCGAGGAGGAGGCUACUUUAGUUAAUACCUAGAGAUAGUGGACGUUACUCGCAGAAUAAGCACCGGCUAACUCUGUGCCAGCAGCCGCGGUAAUACAGAGGGUGCGAGCGUUAAUCGGAUUUACUGGGCGUAAAGCGUGCGUAGGCGGCUUAUUAAGUCGGAUGUGAAAUCCCCGAGCUUAACUUGGGAAUUGCAUUCGAUACUGGUGAGCUAGAGUAUGGGAGAGGAUGGUAGAAUUCCAGGUGUAGCGGUGAAAUGCGUAGAGAUCUGGAGGAAUACCGAUGGCGAAGGCAGCCAUCUGGCCUAAUACUGACGCUGAGGUACGAAAGCAUGGGGAGCAAACAGGAUUAGAUACCCUGGUAGUCCAUGCCGUAAACGAUGUCUACUAGCCGUUGGGGCCUUUGAGGCUUUAGUGGCGCAGCUAACGCGAUAAGUAGACCGCCUGGGGAGUACGGUCGCAAGACUAAAACUCAAAUGAAUUGACGGGGGCCCGCACAAGCGGUGGAGCAUGUGGUUUAAUUCGAUGCAACGCGAAGAACCUUACCUGGCCUUGACAUACUAGAAACUUUCCAGAGAUGGAUUGGUGCCUUCGGGAAUCUAGAUACAGG